rnacentral:rRNA from 1 species
GACGAACGCUGGCGGCGUGCUUAACACAUGCAAGUCGAACGGUAAGGCCCUUCGGGGUACACGAGUGGCGAACGGGUGAGUAACACGUGGGUGAUCUGCCCUGCACUUCGGGAUAAGCCUGGGAAACUGGGUCUAAUACCGGAUAGGACUCCGGACUGCAUGGUCUGGGGUGGAAAGCUUUUGCGGUGUGGGAUGGGCCCGCGGCCUAUCAGCUUGUUGGUGGGGUGAUGGCCUACCAAGGCGACGACGGGUAGCCGGCCUGGGAGGGUGACCGGCCACACUGGGACUGAGAUACGGCCCAGACUCCUACGGGAGGCAGCAGUGGGGAGUAUUGCACAAUGGGCGCAAGCCUGAUGCAGCGACGCCGCGUGAGGGAUGACGGCCUUCGGGUUGUAAACCUCUUUCAGCACAGACGAAGCGCAAGUGACGGUAUGUGCAGAAGAAGGACCGGCCAACUACGUGCCAGCCGCCGCAGUAA